rnacentral:rRNA from 1 species
CCAGCUCCAAUAGCGUAUAUUAAAGGUUGUGCAAGUUAAAAAGCUCGUAGUUGGAUUUCUGGUCGGAGCGAUCGGUCCGCCUCAUUCGGGGUGUGUACUUGUGUCGUCUCCAGCCAUCCUUGAGGAGAACUGUCCUGGCAUUGAGUUGUUGGGGCAGGGAACCUCAUCUUUUACUGUGAAAAAAAUUAGAGUGUUUAAAGCAGGCUUACGCCGUUGAAUACAUUAGCAUGGAAUAAUAAGAUAGGACUUUGGCGGUCUAUUUUGUUGGUUUGCACGCCGAGGUAAUGAUUAAUAGGGAUAGUUGGGGGUAUUCGUAUUUAAUUGUCAGAGGUGAAAUUCUUGGAUUUCUGAAAGACGAACUACUGCGAAAGCAUUUACCAAGGAUGUUUUCAUUAAUCAAGAACGAAAGUUAGGGGAUCGAAGAUGAUUAGAUACCAUCGUAGUCUUAACCAUAAACUAUGCCGACUCGGGAUUGGCGGGCGUUCUCUUUAUGACUCCGUCAGCACCGUAUGAGAAAUCAAAGUCUUUGGGUUCCGGGG